rnacentral:rRNA from 1 species
ACAUGCAAGUCGAACGAGCGAGAGAGAGCUUGCUUUCUCGAGCGGGUGGCGAACGGGUGAGUAACGCGUGAGGAACCUGCCUCAAAGAGGGGGACAACAGUUGGAAACGACUGCUAAUACCGCAUAAGCCCACGACCCGGCAUCGGGUAGAGGGAAAAGGAGCAAUCCGCUUUGAGAUGGCCUCGCGUCCGAUUAGCUAGUUGGUGAGGUAAUGGCCCACCAAGGCGACGAUCGGUAGCCGGACUGAGAGGUUGAACGGCCACAUUGGGACUGAGACACGGCCCAGACUCCUACGGGAGGCAGCAGUGGGGAAUAUUGCACAAUGGGGGAAACCCUGAUGCAGCGACGCCGCGUGGAGGAAGAAGGUCUUCGGAUUGUAAACUCCUGUUGUUGAGGAAGAUAAUGACGGUACUCAACAAGGAAGUGACGGCUAACUACGUGCCAGCAGCCGCGGUAAAACGUAGGUCACAAGCGUUGUCCGGAAUUACUGGGUGUAAAGGGAGCGCAGGCGGGAAGACAAGUUGGAAGUGAAAUCCAUGGGCUCAACCCAUGAACUGCUUUCAAAACUGUUUUUCUUGAGUAGUGCAGAGGUAGGCGGAAUUCCCGGUGUAGCGGUGGAAUGCGUAGAUAUCGGGAGGAGCACCAGUGGCG